GUACGUAGGGGGCAAGCGUUGUCCGGAAUCAUUGGGCGUAAAGGGUGCGUAGGCGGCGCGGUAAGUCGGGUGUGAAAUCUCGGGGCUUAACUCCGAAACUGCAUUCGAUACUGCCGUGCUUGAGGACUGGAGAGGAGACUGGAAUUUACGGUGUAGCAGUGAAAUGCGUAGAUAUCGUAAGGAAGACCAGUGGCGAAGGCGGGUCUCUGGACAGUUCCUGACACUGAGACACGAAGGCCAGGGAGCAAACGGG
rnacentral:rRNA from 1 species